CCUACGGGGGGCAGCAGUGGGGAAUAUUGGACAAUGGGGGCAACCCUGAUCCAGCCAUGCCGCGUGUGUGAAGAAGGCCCUCGGGUUGUAAAGCACUUUCAGUGAGGAAGAACGCCUGGUGGUUAAUACCCAUCAGGAAAGACAUCACUCACAGAAGAAGCACCGGCUAACUCCGUGCCAGCAGCCGCGGUAAUACGGAGGGUGCGAGCGUUAAUCGGAAUUACUGGGCGUAAAGCGCGCGUAGGUGGCUUGAUAAGCCGGUUGUGAAAGCCCCGGGCUCAACCUGGGAACGGCAUCCGGAACUGUCAAGCUAGAGUGCAGGAGAGGAAGGUAGAAUUCCCGGUGUAGCGGUGAAAUGCGUAGAGAUCGGGAGGAACACCAGUGGCGAAGGCGGCCUUCUGGACUGACACUGACACUGAGGUGCGAAAGCGUGGGUAGCAAACAGGAUUAGAUACCCGGGUAGUC
rnacentral:rRNA from 1 species